CUGGCAAGGAAAACAUGGGAAGACAGUGCCAUGCCGCCAUUAAAAGGAGGCAGUGUACGCAUAUGUGCAUAUGUGGCACAGCCUCCAAGAAUAAUAGUGAAUUCCCUGCUAAGGGCCAAAAAUCGCUUGGAAAAUAGGACUGUGACCUUUCUUUUGCGGUUGCCAUGGAACGUUGGCAUCCUGACUGCUAGUAGAAGGAAGCUGUAGGCAAAAGUCGGGAAGGAAGACUGUGGGUGGUUGACCAGCGAGUUUUCCCAAAGGGGAGCUAGAGCCAGCGGCUCACCUGAGCAGAACACAAGCCCCAGCACAAGCGAUUCACAUCCACUGGGAACGAGGACAGCACUCACAGAAAUGCGUUACCUAGAUGAUGACAGCUUCUAAGCAGUGACCCUGACUAAUCACUCCUCUUCUAAAGGAAAACAAACG
rnacentral:lncRNA from 1 species